rnacentral:rRNA from 1 species
GACGAACGCUGGCGGCGUGCCUAAUACAUGCAAGUAGAACGCGGCAUGGUGGAGCUUGCUCUUCUUGGAUGAGUGGCGGACAGGUGAGUAACGCGUAGGUUACCAGCCUUGUGGCGGCGGAUAACUAUGGGAAACGUGAGCUAAUACCGCAUAACACUGGGUGGCACAUGUCUUUUAUUUGAAAGGGGCAAUUGCUCAACUAUAAGAUGAACCUCCGUUGUAUUAGAUAGAGGGUGAGGGAAGGGCUCACCUAGUCGACGAUACAUAGCCGACCUGGGAGGGGAAUCGGCCCCGCUGGGACUGGGUCACGGCCCAGACUCGUACGGGAGGCCGCAGUAGGGAACCUUCGGCAGUGGGGGCAACCCUUACCGGGCAACGGCGCGGGGGUGGAUAAGGUUUUAGGGUCUUAAAGAUCUGUUGUACGGCAAGAUCGGGUGUUAGGGUGGAAAGUUCACACUAUGACGGUAGCUGAGCAGAAAGGGACGGCUAACUACGUG